rnacentral:rRNA from 1 species
AACGAACGCUGGCGGCGUGCCUAACACAUGCAAGUCGAGCGGGAAAGUUCCCUUCGGGGAGCGAGUACAGCGGCGAACGGGUGAGUAACACGUAGGUAACCUACCCUGGAGAUCGGGAUAACCUGCCGAAAGGCGGGCUAAUACCGGAUAAGACCACGAGGGCUGCGGCCCUUGAGGAAAAAGAUGGCCUCUGCUUGCAAGCUAUCACUCUGGGAUGGGCCUGCGCGCCAUUAGCUAGUUGGUGAGGUAACGGCUCACCAAGGCUGAGAUGGCUAGCUGGUCUGAGAGGAUGGCCAGCCACACUGGGACUGAGACACGGCCCAGACUCCUACGGGAGGCAGCAGUGGGGAAUAUUGCGCAAUGGGCGAAAGCCUGACGCAGCGACGCCGCGUGGGUGAUG